UACGUAGGGUGCGAGCGUUAAUCGGAAUUACUGGGCGUAAAGGGUGCGCAGGUGGUUUAUCAAGCUGGAUGUGAAAUCCCCGGGCUUAACCUGGGGCUUGCAUAUAGGACUGAUAGACUAGAGUAUAGGAGAGGGGGGUAGAAUUCCACGUGUAGCAGUGAAAUGCGUAGAGAUGUGGAGGAAUACCGAUGGCGAAGGCAGCCCCCUGGACUGAUACUGACACUGAGGCACGAAAGCGUGGGGAGCGAACAGG
rnacentral:rRNA from 1 species